UGAACGCUGGCGGCGUGCCUAACACAUGCAAGUCGAGCGAUUUACUUCGGUAAAGAGCGGCGGACGGGUGAGUAACGCGUGGGUAACCUGCCCUAUACACACGGAUAACAUACCGAAAGGUAUGCUAAUACGAGAUGACAUAAGAGAUUCGCAUGGAUUUCUUAUCAAAGCUUUUGCGGUAUAGGAUGGACCCGCGUCUGAUUAGCUAGUUGGUAAGGUAACGGCUUACCAAGGCGACGAUCAGUAGCCGACCUGAGAGGGUGAUCGGCCACAUUGGAACUGAGACACGGUCCAAACUCCUACGGGAGGCAGCAGUGGGGAAUAUUGCACAAUGGGCGAAAGCCUGAUGCAGCAACGCCGCGUGAGCGAUGAAGGCCUUCGGGUCGUAAAGCUCUGUCCUCAAGGAAGAUAAUGACGGUACUUGAGGAGGAAGCCCCGGCUAACUACGUGCCAGCAGCCGCGGUAAUACGUAGGGGGCUAGCGUUAUCCGGAAUUACUGGGCGUAAAGGGUGCGUAGGUGGUUUCUUAAGUCAGAGGUGAAAGGCUACGGCUCAACCGUAGUAAGCCUUUGAAACUGAGAAACUUGAGUGCAGGAGAGGAGAGUAGAAUUCCUAGUGUAGCGGUGAAAUGCGUAGAUAUUAGGAGGAAUACCAGUUGCGAAGGCGGCUCUCUGGACUGUAACUGACACUGAGGCACGAAAGCGUGGGGAGCAAACAGGAUUGGAUACCCUGGUAGUCCACGCCGUAAACGAUGAGUACUAGCUGUCGGAGGUUACCCCCUUCGGUGGCGCAGCUAACGCAUUAAGUACUCCGCCUGGGAAGUACGCUCGCAAGAGUGAAACUCAAAGGAAUUGACGGGGACCCGCACAAGUAGCGGAGCAUGUGGUUUAAUUCGAAGCAACGCGAAGAACCUUACCUAAGCUUGACAUCCUUCUGACCUCUCCCUAAUCGGAGAUUUCCCUUCGGGGACAGAAGUGACAGGUGGUGCAUGGUUGUCGUCAGCUCGUGUCGUGAGAUGUUGGGUUAAGUCCCGCAACGAGCGCAACCCUUGCCUUUAGUCGCCAGCAUUAAGUUGGGCACUCUAGAGGGACUGCCAGGGAUAACCUGGAGGAAGGUGGGGAUGACGUCAAAUCAUCAUGCCCCUUAUGCUUAGGGCUACACACGUGCUACAAUGGGUGGUACAGAGGGCAGCCAAGUCGUGAGGCGGAGCUAAUCCCUUAAAGCCAUUCUCAGUUCGGAUUGUAGGCUGAAACUCGCCUACAUGAAGCUGGAGUUACUAGUAAUCGCAGAUCAGAAUGCUGCGGUGAAUGCGUUCCCGGGUCUUGUACACACCGCCCGUCACACCAUGGGAGUUGGGGGCGCCCGAAGCCGGUUAGCUAACCUUUUAGGAAGUGGCCGUCGAAGGUGAAACCAAUAACUGGGGUG
rnacentral:rRNA from 1 species